rnacentral:misc_RNA from 1 species
GAUGAAGAACGCAGCGAAAUGCGAUAAGUAAUGUGAAUUGCAGAAUUCAGUGAAUCAUCGAAUCUUUGAACGCACCUUGCGCCCUUUGGCUAUUCUGAAGGGCAUGCCUGUUUGAGUAUCAUGAACACCUCAACUCUCAUGGCUCGCCAUGAUGAGCUUGGACUUUGGGGGUCUUGCUGGCCUACGGUCGGCUCCUCUCAAAUGAAUCAGCUUGCCAGUGUUUGGUAGAGUCGCAGGUGUGAUAACUAUCUACGCUUGUGGUUUUCUGCCAGAUAACCUUCAGUGAUGGAGGUUCGCUGGAGCUUAUAAAUGUCUCUCCCCAGUGAGGACAGCUUUUUGAACGUUUGAUCUCAAAUCAGGUAGGACUACCCGCUGAACUUAAGCAUAUCAAUAAGCGGAGGA